UACGAAGGGAGCUAGCGUUGUUCGGAAUUACUGGGCGUAAAGGGCGCGUAGGCGGCUCUGUAAGUCAGAUGUGAAAAGCCCCGGGCUUAACCUGGGAACUGCAUUUGAGACUGCAGGACUAGAGAUCGAGAGAGGAAAGUGGAAUUACGAGUGUAGAAGUGAAAUUCGUAGAUAUUACGUAGGAACACCAGUGGCGAAGGCGACUUUCUGGCUCGAUACUGACGCUAAAGCGCGAAAGCGUGGGGAGCAAACAGG
rnacentral:rRNA from 1 species